rnacentral:rRNA from 1 species
CAGCACCGCAAGUGGUCAGGAUGAUUAUUGGGCCUAAAGCAUCCGUAGCCGGCUCUGUAAGUUUUCGGUUAAAUCUGUAUGCUCAACAUACAGGCUGCCGGGAAUACUGCAGAGCUAGGGAGUGGGAGAGGUAGACGGUACUCGGUAGGAAGGGGUAAAAUCCUUUGAUCUAUUGAUGACCACCUGUGGCGAAGGCGGUCUACCAGAACACGUCCGACGGUGAGGGAUGAAAGCUGGGGGAGCGAACCGGAUUAGAUACCCGAGUAGUCC